AGUCCUGUAGCUCAGUGGUUGGCGCGCUCGCCUUGAAAGUGAGAGGACCUGGGUUCGAUUCCCAGGCAGGACGA